rnacentral:lncRNA from 1 species
UUCCACCUCAAUUGCAAAAGCCACACACUCCUCAAAGAAAAGGAGUGAAGCCUCAGCUCAGGAAAAGGUGUGUGCCCAGAGAGACAGCAGUCAGUCCCAGUCUGUCCGUCAAGGUGGACAGCAUCACAAGUAAUCAACAGUGGUCACCCCAGGGAUGAAGAUGGAUAUCCGUGGAUGUGCAGCUCUAGGCUUGUGCACCCUAAGCGUCAGCAAGGCAAAAGUUCACUCAUUAAGUUUGUGGUGUUAGGACAUCUGAUUUUACUUGUCUUGGAAAAUGAAUUUGUGAAAUGUGAUCCCUGAACACAUCGUAGAAAGAUGUAAGCUCUUCUAAUGGGAAAAAAAAGGUUAUCAGCUUUUAAAAUGUAUGUGCUUAAGCCCUAAA